rnacentral:rRNA from 1 species
AUUAGACGAAUCAUCUGGAAAGAUGAAUCAAAGAAGGUAAUAAUCCUGUAGUCGAAAAUGUUGUCUCUCUUGAGUGGAUCCUGAGUACGACGGAGCACGUGAAAUUCCGUCGGAAUCUGGGAGGACCAUCUCCUAAGGCUAAAUACUCUCUAGUGACCGAUAGUGAACCAGUACCGUGAGGGAAAGGUGAAAAGCACCCCGGAAGGGGAGUGAAAUAGAACCUGAAACCGUGUGCUUACAAGUAGUCAGAGCCCGUUAAUGGGUGAUGGCGUGCCUUUUGUAGAAUGAACCGGCGAGUUACGAUUUGAUGCAAGGUUAAGCAGUAAAUGUGGAGCCGUAGCGAAAGCGAGUCUGAAUAGGGCGUUUAGUAUUUGGUCGUAGACCCGAAACCAGGUGAUCUACCCUUGGUCAGGUUGAAGUUCAGGUAACACUGAAUGGAGGACCGAACCGACUUACGUUGAAAAGUGAGCGGAUGAACUGAGGGUAGCGGAGAAAUUCCAAUCGAACCUGGAGAUAGCUGGUUCUCUCCGAAAUAGCUUUAGGGCUAGCCUCAAGUGAUGAUUAUUGGAGGUAGAGCACUGUUUGGACGAGGGGCCCCUCUCGGGUUACCGAAUUCAGACAAACUCCGAAUGCCAAUUAAUUUAACUUGGGAGUCAGAACAUGGGUGAUAAGGUCCGUGUUCGAAAGGGAAACAGCCCAGACCACCAGCUAAGGUCCCAAAAUAUAUGUUAAGUGGAAAAGGAUGUGGCGUUGCCCAGACAACUAGGAUGUUGGCUUAGAAGCAGCCAUCAUUUAAAGAGUGCGUAAUAGCUCACUAGUCGAGUGACACUGCGCCGAAAAUGUACCGGGGCUAAACAUAUUACCGAAGCU